rnacentral:rRNA from 1 species
ACGCUGCGGCGUGCUUACCAUGCAAGUCGAACGAUGAUCCCAGCUUGCUGGGGGAUUAGUGGCGAACGGGUGAGUAACACGUGAGUAACCUGCCCUUAACUCUGGGAUAAGCCUGGGAAACUGGGUCUAAUACCGGAUAUGACUCCUCAUCGCAUGGUGGGGGGUGGAAAGCUUUAUUGUGGUUUUGGAUGGACUCGCGGCCUAUCAGCUUGUUGGUGAGGUAAUGGCUCACCAGGGCGACGACGGGUAGCCGGCCUGAGAGGGUGACCGGCCACACUGGGACUGAGACACGGCCCAGACUCCUACGGGAGGCAGCAGUGGGGAAUAUUGCACAAUGGGCGCAAGCCUGAUGCAGCGACGCCGCGUGAGGGAUGACGGCCUUCGGGUUGUAAACCUCUUUCAGUAGGGAAGAAGCGAAAGUGACGGUACCUGCAGAAGAAGCGCCGGCUAACUACGUGCCAGCAGCCGCGGUAAU